rfam:Faecalibacterium sp. CAG:74 genomic scaffold, scf369
GGCAGAGUAGCUGAAUCCGCGUUAAGUGUUCAUGAACGGGGAGUUGUCAUGAAACGAAGCCGCACGGCGGCGCGGUGGGUUCGGCGCAUCCCGCUGUC